GAUGAAGAACGUAGUGAAAUGCGAUAAGUAAUGUGAAUUGCAGAAUUCAGUGAAUCAUCGAAUCUUUGAACGCACAUUGCGCCCGCUAGUAUUCUGGCGGGCAUGCCUGUUCGAGCGUCAUUUCAACCAUCAAGCCCUGCUUGUGUUGGGGUCCUGCGGCUGCCCGCAGGCCCUGAAAACCAGUGGCGGGCUCGCUAGUCACACCGAGCGCAGUAGCACAUCUCGCUCAGGGCGUGCGGCGGGUUCUUGCCGUAAAACACCCCCUUUUUACCAAGGUUGACCUCGGAUCAGGUAGGAAUACCCGCUGAACUUAAGCAUAUCAAUAAGCGGAGGA
rnacentral:misc_RNA from 1 species